rnacentral:tRNA from 1 species
GCUAUUUUGGCAGAUUAGUGCAAUAAAUUUAGAAUUUAUAUAUAUGAUUAUAAUCAUAUUUAGCA